CGAUAUUUAAAAUAUACAACCAAAAACAUGGCCGUAAAGAUAACGACGCUGUUACCAUAAUCUCAUUCCAGCUAGAGUGCUCACCGCCUUGACAAAUGCCAUAUUCCAGAGGUGACAAUCGGCCAUCUUCUGUCCGGGGUUCGGCCCGGACUAUCGCGCCGAAAUUUUUCCAUCUAAGAAAUAUGUUCAUAACUUUCGAGACGUUCCUGCAUCAGGCGGUUCGAUUGACAUUUUUAUCGAUACACUGAAAAUUUGUAACUUACUGGAAAAAAUUGGCCAUUCACAACAAAAAUAUACGCAAUGAAUGACAAAAAGUAAACAGAAAAAAAAAUAUUUAUAAAUUUGGCAACAAAUUUUAUUACAUAUUAGACGGCAACGAACUUUUGUCCAUAAAACUAUCGAAAGCAAAGAAUUAUGUGAGUUGAUUACAUAUUUAGUUUCACUAUUUUAUCGUGUGGAAAUCUGGCGUUACUGUAAAAACUACGACAUGAAAAGAAUAUGAUUGCAAAUGUUUUGUGGGUAGGAAUGAG